rnacentral:misc_RNA from 1 species
GAAAUGCGAUAAGUAAUGUGAAUUGCAGAAUUAAGUGAAUCAUCGAAUCUUUGAACGCACCUUGCGCUCCUUGGUAUUCCUUGGAGCAUGCCUGUUUGAGUAUCAUGAAAUCUUCAAAGUAAAUCUUUUGUUAACUCAAUUGGUUUCUACUUUGGUAUUGGAGGUCUUUGCAGCUUCACACCUGCUCCUCUUUGUUCAUUAGCUGGAUCUCAGUGUUAUGCUUGGUUCCACUCGGCGUGAUAAGUUAUCUAUCGCUGAGGACACUGUAAAAGGUGGCCAAGGUAAAUGCAGAUGAGCCGCUUCUAAUAGUCCAUUGACUUGGACAAUACUUUUAUGAUCUGAUCUCAAAUCAGGUAGGACUACCCGCUGAACUUAAGC